AUACUUACCAGACAGGGACAAUACCAUGAUUAAGAAGGUGGUUUUCCCAGGGUGAAACUUAUCCAUUGCAUUUAGGAUGCGCUGACCCCUGCAAUUUCCCCAAAUGUGGGGAAUUUGACUGCAUAAUUUGUGGUAGUGGGGGACUAUGUUUGCACUCUCCCCUG